UACGGAGGGUGCAAGCGUUAUCCGGAUUUACUGGGUUUAAAGGGCGCGCAGGCGGAUAUGUAAGUCAGUGGUGAAAUCUCCAGGCUUAACCUGGAAAUUGCCGUUGAUACUAUAUAUCUUGAAUGCUGUGGAGGUAAGCGGAAUAUGUCAUGUAGCGGUGAAAUGCUUAGAGAUGACAUAGAACACCUAUUGCGAAGGCAGCUUACUACGCAGAUAUUGACGCUCAUGCACGAAAGCGUGGGGAUCAAACAGG
rnacentral:rRNA from 1 species